UAACACGUGGGUAACCUGCCUGUAAGACUGGGAUAACUCCGGGAAACCGGGGCUAAUACCGGAUGCUUGUUUGAACCGCAUGGUUCAAACAUAAAAGGUGGCUUCGGCUACCACUUACAGAUGGACCCGCGGCGCAUUAGCUAGUUGGUGAGGUAAUGGCUCACCAAGGCAACGAUGCGUAGCCGACCUGAGAGGGUGAUCGGCCACACUGGGACUGAGACACGGCCCAGACUCCUACGGGAGGCAGCAGUAGGGAAUCUUCCGCAAUGGACGAAAGUCUGACGGAGCAACGCCGCGUGAGUGAUGAAGGUUUUCGGAUCGUAAAGCUCUGUUGUUAGGGAAGAACAAGUACCGUUCGAAUAGGGCGGUAC
rnacentral:rRNA from 1 species